UGCACGUCCCCUCACCUUUUCUAUCUACACACACUUGUGCACCUAUUGUAGAUCCCUUUCGANAGAGAGGGAACUAUGUUUUCAUCACAUCACACACAAYGUAUGUCUAGAAUGUAAAAAACAAUAUAUACAACUUUCAGCAACGGAUCUCUUGGCUCUCGCAUCGAUGAAGAACGCAGCGAAUUGCGAUAAGUAAUGUGAAUUGCAGAUUUCCAGUGAAUCAUCGAAUCUUUGAACGCACCUUGCGCUCCUUGGUAUUCCGAGGAGCAUGCCUGUUUGAGUGUCAUCGAAUUCUCAACCAUUCUCUCUUUUCUGSGAGUAUGGCUUGGACUUGGGGGUUGCUGGCAGCACUGUCAGCUCUCCUUAAANGCAUUAGCAAUCGAGUUGGCUAGUCUUUUGACGUACACGGCCUCGGACGUGAUAAUGAUCGUCGUGGCUGGAGCGUCUUUCCUAGACUAUGUACAUAGAUCGCUUCUAAUCUGUUGUCUAUCGAGCUUAGCUACUAGGCAGUCUUUUUGGCUGGCGAACGCAAGCGAGACAUUCACAUUCU
rnacentral:rRNA from 1 species